ensembl:lncRNA
UGCAGAAGCAGGUUGUCUAAGGGAUCACUUAAAAUAAAGAACUACAUAGACGUCACUUUUUCAGCUACAAUGAAGAAGACUUCUUUCCUCUAUUGCUUUUUAUAUGUUACAUUAAUCGAUGGAGACGUAAUUAAUGUAGAGGAAUUUGAGGGGAGAAGUGUCUCCUUCCAGUGCUCACACACAUUUGCAUGGAGCAACAACAAGUAUUUCUGCAAAGAUCCAUGUACAAGCACAGGAGACGUACUAGUUACUGUAGAAUCUGGAGGAAGAGCAGAGUCAGGGAGGAUUGCUCUGGUGGACUCUGGGGAUGGAUUCUUCACUGUGACCUUCAGCAACCUUCAGCUGUCAGACUCACAGAAAUACUGGUGUGCAGUGGAGCGGACUGGUUUUGAUACAUAUGCUGAGAUACACCUAACAGUAAAGAACGCUGUUGCAACCGUGACAACUGUCAUACCGGGAGUUGCCACAUGGACAAAUCAAAAUACCAACACAACAAACUUCACAACUGGAACAGGAACCGUGAAGCCUUUAGAACUUUCAACAGCCCUAAACUUCACAGCUGAAGAAGAACCUAAAAUCAACACAGACACCAUCGUGUUUGCUACCGUUGGUAGUGUUGGUCUGGUCUCCGUCUUGCUGCUGGCAGUAUGUUUCUGGAAGUCCAGAAAAACCUCAAAACAUAAACAAUCAGUUUACUCCAAAAGUGCAGACCUCACCAGUGCAAACAAAAGAGAGGUCAGCUGUGGUUAUGAUGACACUGACAAGAGGAAAAAGGGCAGUAAGAAGUCUCCUAAGAGUUCAUCUGUCUCUACUCACCAAAAAAGAGAAGAUCCACUAACAUCUGAUGCCACAGCGACCAAAUGUAGUGUACUCGCUGAUACUGAUCAAAACAUCUCUUUCCCCAAACUUCCUGAAUGUUCAGGAUAUUCACUCACAGAGGACCAAAAUGACUAUGAAAAUAACUCUGGAAUCUACAUCGAUAAUUUGCCAGCUUUCAUAUUUGAAAGAACAGAUGAUGGUGCUUGUAGAAAGCAAAUAACUGAACCUAAUGCAAGCAAAAAUACACUGAGCUGUGCAAACCGUUGUGUCUCCAGAGCCCCAUGUGAAUCCAAUGAAGAGAAGCCCAGAUCACUUUGGUUUGGUUUAGAUUUAUCAGAAAUAAAUCAGAAUUAGUUUCAAAGAUCUGAUUUGUAAAUUUGUUAUGGACAUUUAUGGAAAAGUGAACUUCUUCACUAAUCAUCAAUAACAGUCUUCACCAUUAUUAAAGUUGCACACUGUAUUGUACUGUCAGUGUUUCCAUUUCAUGGCUGUCUCUGUCUGUUUUUGUAAUUUAUACUUUGGUUUUGUUUAACCGGGAGGAGUCCCCGGGGCAGACCCAGGACACGCUGGAGAAAUUAUAUCUCUCGGCUGGCCUGGGAACGCC